rnacentral:rRNA from 1 species
GAGUAAUGCUUAGGAAUCUGCCUAUUAGUGGGGGACAACAUCUCGAAAGGGAUGCUAAUACCGCAUACGUCCUACGGGAGAAAGCAGGGGAUCUUCGGACCUUGCGCUAAUAGAUGAGCCUAAGUCGGAUUAGCUAGUUGGUGGGGUAAAGGCCUACCAAGGCGACGAUCUGUAGCGGGUCUGAGAGGAUGAUCCGCCACACUGGGACUGAGACACGGCCCAGACUCCUACGGGAGGCAGCAGUGGGGAAUAUUGGACAAUGGGGGGAACCCUGAUCCAGCCAUGCCGCGUGUGUGAAGAAGGCCUUAUGGUUGUAAAGCACUUUAAGCGAGGAGGAGGCUACUUUAGUUAAUACCUAGAGAUAGUGGACGUUACUCGCAGAAUAAGCACCGGCUAACUCUGUGCCAGCAGCCGCGGUAAUACAGAGGGUGCGAGCGUUAAUCGGAUUUACUGGGCGUAAAGCGUGCGUAGGCGGCUUAUUAAGUCGGAUGUGAAAUCCCCGAGCUUAACUUGGGAAUUGCAUUCGAUACUGGUGAGCUAGAGUAUGGGAGAGGAUGGUAGAAUUCCAGGUGUAGCGGUGAAAUGCGUAGAGAUCUGGAGGAAUACCGAUGGCGAAGGCAGCCAUCUGGCCUAAUACUGACGCUGAGA